UACGGAGGGUGCAAGCGUUGUCCGGAAUCACUGGGCGUAAAGGGCUCGUAGGCGGCCAACUAAGUCAUACGUGAAAUCCCCCGGCUUAACCGGGGAACUGCGUCUGAUACUGGAUGGCUUGAGUUCGGGAGAGGGAUGCGGAAUUCCAGGUGUAGCGGUGAAAUGCGUAGAUAUCUGGAGGAACACCGGUGGCGAAGGCGGCAUCCUGGACCGAUACUGACGCUGAGGAGCGAAAGCCAGGGGAGCAAACGGG
rnacentral:rRNA from 1 species